rnacentral:rRNA from 1 species
AUUGAACGCUAGCGGGAUGCUUUACACAUGCACGUCGAGCGAGCGUCGGACGGGUGAGUAAUGUAUGGGGACUGACCGAUAUAGGGGGAUAACUACUGGAAACGGUAGCUAAUACCGCAUACUAUCGGCAAACCCAUAUGGGCUUAGCUAGUAGGUGAGGGAAUGGCUCACCGAGGCGACGAUCCCUAGCUGGUCUGAGAGGAUGAUCAGCCACACUGGGAAUGAGACACGGCCCAGAGCCCUACGGAGGCAGAAGGGGGAAAUUGUGCGCAAGGGGGGCAAGCCGGAUGCAGCCAGGCCGCGGGUAUGAAGAAGGCCCUAGGGUUGUAAAGUACUUUCAGUCGGGAGGCGUUACCGACAGAAGAAGCACCGGCUAACUCCGUGCCAGCAGCCGCGGUAAUAC